AACGAACGCUGGCGGCAGGCUUAACACAUGCAGGUCGAACGAGAUCUUCGGAUCUAGUGGCAGACGGGUGAGGAACACGUGGGAACAUCCCUUUCAGUUCGGAAUAACGUUGGGAAACUAACGCUAAUACCGGAUACGUCCUUCGGGAGAAAGAUUUAUCGCUGAAAGAUUGGCCCGCGUCUGAUUAGCUAGUUGGUGAGGUAAUGGCUCACCAAGGCUACGAUCAGUAGCUGAUCUGAGAGGAUGAUCAGCCACAUUGGGACUGAGACACGGCCCAAACUCCUACGGGAGGCAGCAGUGGGGAAUAUUGGACAAUGGGCGCAAGCCUGAUCCAGCCAUGCCGCGUGGGUGAUGACGGCCUUCGGGUUGUAAAGCUCUUUUGUCCGGGAAGAUAAUGACUGUACCGGAAGAAUAAGCCCCGGCAAACUUCGUGCCAGCCGCCGCGGUAA
rnacentral:rRNA from 1 species